UACGUAGGGUGCAAGCGUUGUCCGGAAUUAUUGGGCGUAAAGAGCUCGUAGGCGGUUUGUCGCGUCUGCUGUGAAAACCCGAGGCUCAACCUCGGGCCUGCAGUGGAUACGGGCGGACUAGAGUGCUGUAGGGGAGAAUGGAAUUCCUGGUGUAGCGGUGAAAUGCGCAGAUAUCAGGAGGAACACCGGUGGCGAAGGCGGUUCUCUGGGCAGUAACUGACGCUGAGGAGCGAAAGCGUGGGGAGCGAACAGG
rnacentral:rRNA from 1 species